GGCCCUGUAGUGAAAUUCAUAGUGAGUUGCAAGCUCAUUGAUGUGCAUUGAUUAUGUACCGGGGUCU
rnacentral:tRNA from 1 species